CUCUCCAUUCAUGCUGUAACUGUGUGUCAGCUCAGUCUGGAGGCCGCUGAGGAAGAGAGGAAUUAACUAGCUGUCCCGCACCUCUGACUCAACUCUCUGUGAACUGCUCGUGGAAUCAAGGGUCAGCGACUCUGGGGCUUUUUCGUAUCACUUGUCCCUCCCACUCUGCGGCUGUUUCGCUGGGGGGCGAGUUCAUGAGUGUUCUGGAGGCAGCGAGGCUCUCAGCUCCUGAUCCCACAGCCGGCUCCGUCUGACAGGGAUUCCAGAGUCGCUGCUCUGCUCUCGUGAUACUGUACACAACGCCCUCAUAUAACAAAAGAAGUCCCUGAGUGCUGAGAGUUUCACUCAGAGGAAAGAACAUCUGCACUCGUCUGUAUGUUUGUCUUCCACUGACCUGGAACAACUUCUCUUCCCUCAGCGCUGUGGAGCCUCCACGCCUUUCCACACAGGGCCCGGCUCUGAAUGGCUGAUUGUCUCCUCCGCUACAGAGCUACACCUCUGAUCUUCUCUCCUUCCACCCGCAGAACUGCUGCCUCAGCCACGGCCCAUUUACCUACACACAUACACACACAUGUGCACGGCCCCUGUAUGAAAACCAAUGUGUGCCCUGUGUAAAUAUGGACACACACGGUCGCUCUGCACACCAGCAUCCCGAGCACCCAUGCCGAACCGUGCUGCAGCCGCUCGCCCCUCUUUCCCCUGCUGACGCCACAUCUGCCGCCCAGAUGUGCAGCGUCCGCCGAGGUGCUGCCGAGCGCAGGAUGUUUUGCAUUCCCUCCGUGGAACAUGUGAGGCGUUCCUGUGGGCCAUCCGUCUGGCUGCAUUAGUCUGUGUGUCAUGGGGAUCUGUUUGCCGCGGCCCCUCGUUGGCUGGCUCCGGGGGUUUGGGCACGUUAACUCGGGGCAGAUGUGGGGCUGCUGAAUCAGGUGGUCGGAGGAAACUCGGGCCCUGGCGGGAGGGAGACACUGGCUGCCCUGUGUGGUGGACCAGCCCUACGUAACACAAUCCCUCCCCCCCCCCCCCCCUCCACCUCCACCCAGCCUCACCACCUCUGCUGCUCCUGCACCGCUCACAUCUGAUGAACUGAGGUGUAUAACUUCUAUAUGAAAGCAAAUAUACAUCAUGACUCACUUACUCACUUUGUUUACCUUCAUUUUAUGAACCUCACAUCCUUUGAGGGAUGGGAGUCGAUCAACAUUCAUAGAGAAACACUUAUAUUUACAGUUAAAUCAACCUUAGACGAAUGUGUGGACAGUGGGAGGAAAGCCACAGAGAACAUGAACCACUGCUCCACCUGUAAGCCCCCCAAUUUACUUUCCUCCUUAAUAAAAGUGUCUUUGUAUUUUCAUUGAAGUGGAAAAGGUAACGGUUGGAUGGAAUAACUCUGUCCAGCUGUCAUCAAGGUUUAACACACAGUCAAGCUCCUUCCAUUGGGAUCCACUGGUUAACAACAAACCAUUCAAUAAGACUUGAAAUACCACUCUGAUGAAAAAAAAACAAUAGCAGAAGAAAAAACAUUUGACCAAAAAGCAAAUUUACAAUAAUAGGAUGAAAAUCAACUUGAAAUCUACCUCGAAACACAUUGCCGUCCCUGCUCAACCCCCUCUGAUCUGGAAUCAGUCUCGCUUGGUGCGGAAAAUCUGCGGCUAACGCGGCACGAAAGCUUCACCGACACACUUCAGACGGCACCAAUCCCAGAGAGGAGGUCAGACAAACAUGAAGAGCAUGUGUGAUGAUGAUGACACUGCAGUUUGUGAAACAAUGAAGGAGCUGUAGAUAUUCUAUUCAUGUGUGACAUGGUGAGACUCCAGAGCUUUCACAGUUGACCUGGCUGCAGCACUGAUAUAACAUAACAAACAUAAUAACUGAGCAUGGAAACUUGUCUUAGCCUCCCACACAUAGUGACACAGUCACAGCUUCAGUGAACCCGGACCUCCUCACCCACCCUGUGUCCUCUCUGUCCACUCGUCCCUGUCCUCACAGGGGAUCUCCACAGAUUUCACAUUUCAGAAUCGGUUUUCCAGUAAUGAGGAGCUUUAUUCGGAGAGAACCAGUUUCCACAAUGUUGUGGUGCCUGUGGUGAACUUUUUUCAUGUGUGAGGAAAUAUUCUGAGUGAUGUCAACAGUGUUAGAAAGACUGGGGCUUUGGAUGUGAUGAAGAGACACCGUCACACACAUUCUGAAUAUGUUACUAAGGUCCCACCCAUGCACGUCGAUCUCUUUUGUUUCCUUUAUUACCCACUGACUCUCUCUUUUAUAUUCGUCUCUUCAUCAGCUCAUCUCCCUGAGUCUUUGACAUCAUCUCCGUUGUCCUGCCUCAGCUUGGACUUUGCACUCUUCUGCCCUAUUUCCCAGCCUCUCUGAUCCCCCUCUGACUCCCUGACUUAGUCUUUCCCAUGUGUCUUGACCUGUAUGCCCCCCCCCCCUGCUGUCCCAUGACCAGAUAGGGCACCAGUUCCUCUCCCAGUUCCUGCUCAGCAGCAUUUCUUUAGGCGACCCUUGCCGUUGGCCGGCGUCUCCACAGCUGGCCAAGAACAGAUCCCGGCCACACCCAAGCAAUUGUGGCCCUCACACCACCUGCUGCAGGGUGACGAUCACAGGGUGAGCUGGCUCAGGAUGUGUGUGUCUGUGUGUGUGCAUGUGAGUGCGUGUCUGUGUGUAGGGGAGCAGAGGAUGCUUUAACACAAACACACAUAACUGACACAGCAUGGGGAUCCAUUGUGUUCUAAUCAGUAUACCAGGAACUGAAUAAGCAGUGUGACCUCCAUCCUGCGCUCCAGUUGACUGAGCAGGACCAGAUAGGAACAGCGAGAGACAGAGAGCUGGAAUUCCCCUUUGAUCAAAGUGUCCGUUAGUCGAUGGGAUGUGGCGUUGCUGGGGGUGCGGAGCAGGAGGUGGCUGCUGGGAGAGAGAGAGAGAGAGAGAGAGAGAGAAAGAGAGAGAGAGAGAGAGAGAGUGCUCAAUUGUCUUGUCCCUUUCUUUUUUCCCGGCUGCUCACCCCCCCCCACCACCAAGAAGCCGAUAGCGAGGUCGCGACCUCUCGCCCCCCCCUCCUCGGCCUUGUACUUGAAGGACGCUCUCCGUCACGUGUAACCGCCGAACUCCCCCCCACUUCCCAGAGACGUGUCCACUCUAACUGUCUCUCACAAGUGCUUGUCUCCCUGCCACCCGGCUGCAUUUCAGAUGUGGAGAAA